UUCCGGUUGAUCCCGCCGGAGGCUACCGCUAUUGGAGUUCGAUUAAGCCAUGCGAGUCGAGAGUCUUAGGGACUCGGCGCACCGCUCAGUAACACGUGGGUAACCUGCCCUAUGCUGGGGAAUAACCUCGGGAAACUGAGAAUAAUGCCCCAUAGCCCACUACGCCUGGAACGGUGAGUGGGUCAAAGCUCCGGCGGCAUAGGAUGGGCCUGCGCCGUAUCAGGUUGUAGGGGGUGUAAAGUACCCUCUAGCCAUCAACGCGUACGGGUGUUGGGAGACAUUGCCCGGAGAUGGAUUCUGAGACACGAAUCCAGACCCUACGGGGUGCAGCAGGCGCGAAAACUUGGCAAUGCGAGCAAUCGUGACCAGGGAACUCCAAGUACGUAGGGUAAGACCUACGCUUUUCUUGACUCUUCAAAGGUCUUGGAAUAAGGGGUGGGUAAGGACGGUGCCAGCCGCCGCGGUAAUACCGGCGCCUCAAGUGGUAGUCGCUUUUAUUGGGCCUAAAACGUCCGUAGCCGGUCUGGUGCAUUCGUGGGUAAAUCAACCCGCUCAACGGGUUGAAUUCUGCGAGCACGGCCAGACUUGGGACCGGGAGAGGUGUGGGGUACUCUCAGGGUAGGGGUAAAAUCCUGUCAUCCUGAGAGGACCACCUGUUGCGAAGGCGCCACACUAGAACGGAUCCGACGGUCAGGGACGAAACCUAGGGGCACGAACCGGAUUAGAUACCCGGGUAGUCCUAGGUGUAAACGCUGUGGACUUGAUGUUGGGGGCGCUCCGAGCGCUUUCAGUGUCGAAGCGAAGGUGAUAAGUCCACUGCCUGGGGAGUACGGUCGCAAGGCUGAAACUUAAAGGAAUUGGCGGGGGAGCACUGCAACCUGAGGAUUGUGCGGUUUAAUUGGAUUCAACGCCGGG
rnacentral:rRNA from 1 species